CCUACGGGAGGCAGCAGUAGGGAAUAUUGCUCAAUGGGGGAAACCCUGAAGCAGCAACGCCGCGUGGAGGAUGAAGGUUCUCGGAUUGUAAACUCCUUUUGUUAGAGAAGAUAAUGACGGUACCCAACGAAUAAGCACCGGCCAACUACGUGCCAACAGCCGUGGCAAUAUGGAGGGUGCAAGCGUUAUUCGGAAUCACCGGGCGUAAAGGGCGCGUAGGCGGGAUAGCAAGUGCGGUGGGAAAUCCUAUGGCUUAACCAUAGAAGUGCAUUUGAAACUGCUAUUCUAGAGUGUGGGAGAGGUAGGUGGAAUGCUUGGUGUAGAGGUGAAAUGCAUAGAGAUCAAGAAGAAUACUCAUUGCGAAGGCAGCCUACUGGAGCUUAACUGACGCUGAUGCACGAAAGCGUGGGGAGCGAACAGGAUUAGAUACCCUAGUAGUC
rnacentral:rRNA from 1 species